rnacentral:rRNA from 1 species
CAAAAUGAGAGUUUGAUCCUGGCUCAGGAUGAACGCUGGCGGCGUGCCUAAUACAUGCAAGUCGAACGCUUUGUGGUCCAACUGAUUUGAAGAGCUUGCUCAGAUAUGACGAUGGACAUUGCAAAGAGUGGCGAACGGGUGAGUAACACGUGGGAAACCUACCUCUUAGCAGGGGAUAACACUUGGAA